CGAAAGUAAGCGGGACGGUUUGACAUUUUGGGAAAUAUGGUUCUUCCCUUUCUUGCUGAGGGAUAACUUUUAAGAUUAACACCAAUGUCAGGUUUUUAUGGUAAAUACGUAGCUGGAGAAAGCCCCUGGCUGGCUUUCUCUUUCUUGUAGGCCGUAUACCUGCUUAACAGAGUGCAUGCACCAUGAGUUUGUUUUUACAGAAAAUCUUGACAGAGUUGCUCUUGAGGAGGGGUACAGCCUCUCGUGACAAGCAGGAGGUUCUACAGUACUGAAAAACAGAUGGGGGUUAUCAAGAGGAGAAAGACUGACGAUUAGUGGUGUCCAAGGAGAAAACACUGAGUCAAGCUCCUAGACUCAGUUUGCUGUGUUACACAGCUCCCCCUGUUGUGGAUUGACUGGAGAUCAAACCAGUGUGGAUUUCAGGGAUCAGAUUUGACUGCUUCACUUCACAACCUAUCGAGCAUGGCCAGAUGCAACGCAGCUACAGUGACUGAUCAAGGGGCCUCGUGUCAGAGCAUGAGGCAAUGCAACCUGCUACA